GAAGACUUGAAGACUUAGACAUGAAGACUUGAAGACUUAGACAUGGUCUUCAAGUCUUCAUGUCUAAGUCUUCAAGUCUUCAUGUCUAAGUCUUCAA
rnacentral:pre_miRNA from 1 species